AAGAGAUGGAAGGGGGUGGGUCUUACUUUGUCGCCCAGGCUGGUCUCGAACUCCUGGGCUCAGGCAUGAGCCACCAUGCCUGGUCCAAUUUUUGAAUUUUUUCAAAGGUUCUCACUGUAUUGCCCAGAAUGGUCUCGAUCUCCAGAUGUGAAGUGAUCUUUCCCACUUGGCCGCCUAAAGUGCUGGGAUUACACCGCACCUGGCCCAUGCUUUUCUUUAAGGAAGAUAGAUUACCUUAUUUCUCUCAGUUUUUAUGAUAGCCGUAUACCUGCAAAGUUCCAUCUUCCAUUUCAGAUUAUUUUGUUUUUAUUUUUAAUUCUUUCAGUGUAUGCUGUGUCUGUUAACUUGAAGUAAGGAUAAUAAUUUCAUACCUUGCUUAUGCUCUCCCUUUGUGGUGAAAUCAUUAUACUACUUUUCUUUCUUUUGUUUUUUCUUCAACUUUUAUUUUAAAUUCCCGGGUACGUGUGCAGGUUUGUUACAUAGGUAAAUGUGUGCCAUGGUGGUUUGCUGCACAGAUCAACCCAUCACCUAGGUAUUAAGCCCAGCAUCCAUUAGCUAUUCUUCCUGAUACUCUCUCUCCCUCUGCCCCUUUGUACUACUUUUCACCAUUAUGAUUUUUACCAUAUCCACCUGCCAGUUUUACAGUUGAUAAAUGCAAGGCUGGGGAACAAAGUGAGACCCCCCAUCUCUACAAAAUAAAAAUUUCUAAAUUAGCCAUGUGUGGUGUUAAACACCUGUAGUCCCGGCUGCUUGGGGCUGAGGCAGGAGGAUUGCUUGAGCCCAGAGGUCGAGGCUACAGUGAGCUGUGACUGAGCCACUACUCCAGCCUGGCUGAUGAAGCAAGACCCUGUCUCAGAAAAAAAAAAAAUGUAGCUCGGGCACAGUGGCCCACAUCUGUAAUCCUAGCACUUUGGGAAGCCAAGGUGGGGGAGGAUUGCUCAAGGCCAGAAGUUCGAUACCUGCCUGGGCAACAUAGCAAGACCCUGUCUCCACAAAAAGUUUAGAAAAUUAGCUGGGCAUGUGGCACAUACUUGUAGUCUUAGCUACUCAGGAGGCUGAAGCCAGAGAAUUGCUUGAGCCCAGGAGUUUGAGGCUGGAGUGCAGUGCCACGAUCAUAGCUCACUGCAGCCUCAAACUCUUAGGCUCAAGUAAUCCUCCUACCUUAGCCUCCCAAGUAGCUGGGACUGUAGACACAUGCCACCAGGCCCAGCUGAUUUAUUUUUAAAUUUUUUCAGGGGAGGUGGGAUCUUACUGUGUUGCCCAGACUAGUCUUGAAUUUCCUGCCUCAAGCAAUGCUCCUACCUCACCCUCCUGAGUAGCCAGGAUUAUAGCUGUGAGCUACCACACCUGGCCCAUUUUAGUUUUUAAAUGCCACUAUGUAAUGAGGCAUUUAAAUUUUUUUCCGAAAAGUCAGGAAAGAAGGACUUGGAGCACAUACCUGUUACGGGUUUAAAGCAUACUUUAGUCUUGGCCGGGUGCGGUGGCUCACGCCUGUAGUCCCAGCACUUUGGGAGGCCGAGAUGGGCAGAUCACGAGGUCAAGAGAUCGAGACCAUCCUGGCUAACAUGGUGAAACCCCAUCUCUACUAAAAAUACC
rnacentral:lncRNA from 1 species